rnacentral:rRNA from 1 species
AGUGAACGCUGGCGGUAUGCCUAACGCAUGCAAGUCGAACGGCAGCACAGUAAGAGCUUGCUCUUACGGGUGGCGAGUGGCGGACGGGUGAGGAAUACAUCGGCAUCUACUUUUUCGUGGGGGAUAACGUAGGGCAACUUACGCUAAUACCGCAUACGACCUACGAGUGAAAGCAGGUUAUCAUCGGACAUUGCGCUAUCUAAUGAGCCGAUGUCGGAUUAGCUAGUUGGCGGGGUAAAGGCCCACCAAGGCGACGAUCCGUAGCUGGUCUGAGAGGAUGAGCCGCCACAAUGGGAAUGGGAAACGGCCCCAACUCCCAAGGGAGGCAGCAGUAGGGAAUCUUCGGCAAUGGGCGGAAGUCUGACCGAGCCACGCCGCGUGGGUGAAAAAGGUUUUCGGGGUGUAAAACUCUGUUGGUGGGGAAGAAAAUGGGGGAGAGUAAAACGCCCAUCAUGUGACGGUAACCAAAAAAAAAGGAACGGCUAACUACGU